UUGGAGGGCAAGUCUGGUGCCAGCAGCCGCGGUAAUUCCAGCUCCAAUAGCGUAUAUUAAAGUUGUUGCAGUUAAAAAGCUCGUAGUUGAAUUUCGGGGUCAGUAGGUUGGUCGUGCCACUGGUACGUACUGGUCUCACUGAUUCCUCCUUCCUGAUGAACCGUAAUGCCAUUAAUUUGGUGUUGCGGGGAAACUGGACUGUUACUUUGAAAAAAUUAGAGUGUUUAAAGCAGGCUAACGCUUGAAUACAUUAGCAUGGAAUAAUGAAAUAGGACGUUCGAUCCUAUUUUGUUGGUUUCUAGGAUUGACGUAAUGAUUAAUAGGGACAGUUGGGGGCAUUAGUAUUCAAUUGUCAGAGGUGAAAUUCUUGGAUUUAUUGAAGACUAACUACUGCGAAAGCAUUUGCCAAGGAUGUUUUCAUUAAUCAAGAACGAAAGUUAGGGGAUCGAAGACGAUCAGAUACCGUCGUAGUCUUAACCAUAAACUAUGCCGACUAGGGAUCGGAUGAUGUUAAUUUUUUAAUGACUCAUUCGGCGCCUUACGGGAAAC
rnacentral:rRNA from 1 species